GGGCCUGUGGCGCAGUUGGGAGCGCGCAUGACUGGCAGUCAUGAGGUCGAGAGUUCGAACCUCUCCAGGUCCACCA
rnacentral:tRNA from 2 species